rnacentral:rRNA from 1 species
GACGAACCGUGCGAACGUUGUUCGGAAUCACUGGGCUUAAAGGGCGCGUAGGCGGGCUGUUAAGUCUGGGGUGAAAUCCUCCGGCUCAACCGGAGAACGGCCUGGGAUACUGGUGGUCUGGAGGGAGGUAGAAGCGUGCGGAACUCGGGGUGGAGCGGUGAAAUGCGUUGAUAUCCUGAGGAACUCCGAUGGCGAAGGCGGCACGCUGGACCUUUUCUGACGCUGAGGCGCGAAAGCCAGGGGAGCAAACGGG